CAGCCAGCUCUGCAGAACUUGUACAACCUGGUACAAUGGGAACACGAAUUACCUAAACCACAUGCAAUUUUGGUUGUGAAAGUGCAGGUCCAGGGAAGUCUGAUGGGCCCUGAUUUCCCAAAUGGUCCUUGGAGUGGCCUCCCGCCAGCCUGGCACAAGUAUCCAAUAUUAUUGGACUCUGCAUCUCGGAUUCAACUCUGCGGUUAAAGCUUCACACUUCUAAGCAGUUUAUGAAAGACAAUCGAGAAGAAAAGAAUCAGAGGAAAUCUUACACAGUAUGAUAAAAACACCUUACAGCAAUGUGAUUUAUGACAAAACACAGUCUGAGUUUCCAGUAUCAGAAAAGGAAAGGACAGCCAAACUGGGUCAGACCAAGGGUUCUGAAACUGACUGGCCAGCAGAAGAUGGCAAAGGCAGAAUGCAGCAGAAACACGAGAAGGUGAAGAAAACCUCGGUGGGAGUUCAUUGAAAGCCACAGGAGGGUGAAGUCUACGGCUCAGCUCAGGUGCAGACUUCUAGCUGAAGUCUGAAGCCUCUGAGAGUAAUACAGCUUUAAAAUGUUUUUUGACAGCUUCUUCUAAAGUUAGAACAUCGGUUACUGUCCAUGUAUCUGUAACACUGGCAACUGUGAUGGGCUGCACAGAGGCCUCAAGUAAUUCUGCUCAGAACCUGUUCUCCCAGAUAGAAGGAGGAAAUUAUGCCCAAGAUUACAAAUUUUGAGCACAGACUCUUCUACAGCCUCACAAACCAUGAAAAUUCUUCUGGUUUCUAGGCUGCUAGCCAAAUCAAUGUUUAGGAGGAUGAGCGGACAAGACUUAGACAGCUAUUCAAGGCAACAGAAAUAACUGUUGCUCCAGAGGAAGCAACAGUAUAGAAAUAUUAUUGAGUAUUGAAAUUCCAUUAGGGUUUUUGCAGGAAGGGAUCAGUAGGGCUUUAGAGGACUGUAGGCAGGGGAAGACACGCUUAGUUUGUGUUUCCUAGCCUGUGUGAUCAUAGGAUAGGAAGGCAGGGUCUUACCCCUGAAUAAAUUUUCCCUGUGCUGGAGGUCACAGUAUUUGCCUCUUCUUUGGUCACCUGGAGGAAAGGCCUCUUCAUGGCCUCAUCCAGAACUGACAGAUCUCACCUCCGCCAGAGCUCUGCCUUGGCGCAGUGCUGGGGUGUAGGAGGAAAAGGAAAAGCACAACCUUUCUAUGGUGGAGCAGGCAUGCAGCUAGCUGGCAUCCCCCAGUCUGGGACACAAGGUCAUCUGUGCAGGUCUGGAUUACCAGGUCUGCAAACCUGGCAAUGCAGAUAACACAAUACCAUGGUAUUAUUAACAUCUAAUAAUUUUUCUAUCAUUUGAUAUUGAAUAUUUCUAGAAUUCUGAUAAUACCAUGAAACCUGCAUAUCACCCAUUAUUACAGGGAAGCUUUGUGACAAUUACCUUUUAAAGUAGGAGGUUUCUAUAGAAUUGUGUCUUUACCUGUAUGUUCUCAAAGUCCCAGGUUCAUUAAUUCAACAGUCAAUUUAUUCUUUUGCAAAAAUGAUAUUCCUGAAGCUACUAUUUGAAUAGAAAUAACAUUUCAUGAGAAGCAAACUCCACAGGGAGGAGAGUAACUAGCAGAUAGUUUGUAUUCAUUUGAUAAAAUUAUGAAGUUGUGAGCUUGAUUGAAAAGAAAUCUAAGAGAUAAAAAUCUGUUUGGAAAACAAAUUUUGCCUUCUUAUAGCUAUUUAUCAACACCAACAAGACAGCCAUACAAUACAGAGUUUAAAUCUUCAACUAUGUAACAUUGCCCAAUCAAAGAUGGUGGUAUAAUAGAGCAAUGAUCUCAGGAUCCGUAUACAGAGUUGAGAAUAAAUUAUAAAAAAGUAAGGGUUUUUCAACUAUAAGUUAAGUUGAAAGUUUUUUAACUACAAGUUAAAAGCAUCUUUCAUCAAAUCAUUAUUGGGGUCUUGGGCAACCUGGUCCAGUGGAAGGUGUCCCUGCCCAUGGCAGUGGGGCUGGAACUAGAUGAUCUUUAAGGUCCCUUCCAACCCAGGCCAUUCUAUGAUUCUAUGAUUCUAUGAUUAUUCCUCUUCCAUGGGCAAUAAUGAACUUUUUCCAAAACAAUUUCCUAAAGGUGAGCUGUGUCUUGUAGAAGUCAAUGUGAUGUGUGCUGUGCUGACACCAUAUUUAUUAAUACAGAGCAUGAAUGCCACAGGAGCUGGAGCUCCAGGGACAGCUUCACCCUAACAUGCAGCACCCUUGCUCCAUUCAUUUCCUUUUCCUCGAGGGAGUACUCCACUACAGGAUACUUAACUAGAGAGAAGAAACUGGAGAAUUCUGAUACACCCCAUUGCAAAGCCUUCAGCCCCAUGUAACGGCUUCUGUGGGGUUUGUUUCUGUGUGGACUGAAUUUAUCAGUCAAAGAACAAGUCAACUUCAUGACUCCUGUCCUGAGCCUGUGAAUCACUUGGACAACUUCCUAGCACAGAGAGGCAGCAUGCCAUUGCAACAGCAUGUACACAACACACACAUGCAUGAACAAGACUUCUUUUGGCCUUGAAGUAUCUAGUCCAGAUUUAAACUCCCAGGCUAUUGGCUUGGCAUCAGGCUGUCAGUUGUACAGCCUCAGAUGGCAGCCUAUGUUUUUCUGCUAACUCAGUGCCUUCUGUUCCCAAGCAAUGGACAUUGGAUCUUUAUGGGAGUUACGAAUUAUUGGAUGCAUGUCAGGAAGUUUUUUAAAGGAACUUCAGGAGAUGGGUGGGAGGUAAUCAUAAAGAAAAAAAGAAUUGAUUUAAGUUUAAUCCAAAACUCAUCUCUCUCAAUUAGACUUUCUGCUGUUUUCAAUGGAUUUACAUCCUAUAAAUACAUCAAAUGCAAUUGCAGGCAUUUUCAGCACAAAUAUGAAGCGAUCUAAGUAAUGUUAAAUUAGUUUUUAAAGUUCUGUUAAAUAAAUUGGACAGGUCAAGAUAAACACAUAAGAUUCCACACUCCCUUCUUAUUCCCCAGGAAGAAGAACUUCUCCUCUCUCUCCCAAAGCUACACUGAUAAGUUCCACAAGUGUCUGGAGCAAACAGUGUAACCGGGAGACAGACACAUGUGGGGAACAGCAUCUCUGAGUCCCUGGCAUCGCCUCCACCUGUGAGCUGAAUGCCAUUUGAGCAAACAGGAUUGCUUAAUGCCAAAACAGCUUUUCUGAGUCCCAGCACCUCUUGAAUCACUGCUCUAGCCUGCACAAAUAUAAAAGGUAGCAUGCCCAAACAGAGAAGUUGUGCUGAACACUAUAUUGGCACUGUAACUAUCACAGGACGAUAACAGCUGAAGCUAUCCAGUCCCAGAGCAACCAAGAUUUCCCUUGGUUUCCUUCCCUUCCCCCCAUGCUGUAUAUCUUCCAUCCUUGAAGGUGAAAGUGGGAAACCUGCAGGGACAUGGGGAACCCAGCAUCCACAUAGAUACAUUCCCACGGUCUUGGGAUGCCAACCCUCUGAGAGCACAGAGACUGUAGAAUGCAAGAGGGUUUUCCAGUCUGUCAUUUCUAAGGCCUUUUACUACACACAGUACCACAUGGUGCAUGAAGGGUACCAGAAAUGACACUGCUGUGUAUCUUCCUCAGUGUGUGGAGAAUCACUUAUAACACACACAAAGGAACAGAUCUGUAGAGUGGCUCCACAUACCACACUUUCAUUUGAUUUUCAUUUCACUCCUAGAUAUUCAAUAUUUAAGCAUUGCCAGUCUAACACAUAAGCUUUUUGAGUGAUGGUAUCUCUUCAAAUGAGACAAUGUCAAGGAUUUGGUGCCAAAACUAUUUUUGCCAGUAAAAUUAAGUCCUUUGCCACUUUCAUGCAUACCUUGUAUAUAUACAAGACCUUUAACCAAAAGUUAUGCCUCUUCUUUUGUGGAGUGAUUUCUUCUUUUGUCAACAGUACCUGCACUGACUGCUGAGUGGAAGGUAAUCUAAAACUUUUAACUUCAGCUGUCAGUUUUCCUAACCUUAUCCAAUCACUACAGUCAUGUCUCACUUGUUAUCAGUUGACUAUAAAUGUUUUUGCUUACCUAGAGGGCAAAAAAAAUAGACAGAAUAUAGCAUUUCAAAAGAAAUAUUAUAGCCAUUAGUUCCACAAACACACUGUACCUAACUCAGAACCAAAUUCUGCCCUCAAAAAAUGAUGUGUCAUUUACAAUUAUGUUUAUGUGUGUACGUUCAGAAAGUGAAGGGGACAGACAGAAUAUGAGAGGACAGUCUAGCCCCUGAAUUUUAUAAAGAAAUGUCUGUCUCAGGUGUCUGAAUGUUGUGGAGAUCUAUUAUACUGUUAUCUUUCUUUAACAAGACUUAGAGUGUAUUGCAAAUGGAG